rnacentral:rRNA from 1 species
GAUGAACGCUGGCGGCGUGCCUAAUACAUGCAAGUCGAGCGAAGCGGGGACGGGUGAGUAACACGUGGAUAACCUCCUAUAAGACUGGGGUAACUUCGGGAAACCGGAGCUAAACCGGCUCCUUUUAGCUGGCUCCGCGGUGCAUUAGCUAGUUGGUAAGGUAACGGCUUACAAAGGCAACGAUGCAUAGCUGACCUGCGAGGGUGAGCGGCCACACUGGAACUGAGACACGGUCCAGACUCCUACGGGAGGCAGCAGUAGGGAAGCUUCCGCAAUGGGCGAAAGCCUGACGGAGCAACGCCGCGUGAGUGAGGAAGGUCUUCGGAUCGUAAAACUCUGUCAGUAGGGAAGCGGUACCUAAUCAGAAAGCCACGGCUAACUACGUGCCAGCAGCCGCGGUAAUAC